AAUCAAAGCAGAACCAUAAAGGUUGCUGGACUGCAUGAUGGCCUUACCCCUGAGCAGUCAUCCUGUUAAAGGAGGAACCAGUUAGAAGCUGUUUUCAAAGUAGCUGAGCAGAUUUCAUCUCAACAGACAAAGCCAAUGGCAGAAGAUGUUUGGAGAAGAACUUCAGGCCGUGUACUGACAAGAUCAAAGCAGCUCGUGCUCUUUCUGCUUCCAUUUUGAUGGCAAGAA